GGCGGUUCUUGGGUGGCACAACCUGGAAUCGUGCUCCCUCCUCUCUGGUUCCGGGUACGUCACCGAGAACCGCA
rfam:Myotis brandtii contig197262, whole genome shotgun sequence.